rnacentral:rRNA from 1 species
GACGAACGCUGGCGGCGUGCUUAACACAUGCAAGUCGAACGAAGAGCGAUGGACGCUUGCUUCUAUCAAUCUUAGUGGCGAACGGGUGAGUAACGCGUAAUCAACCUGCCCUUCAGAGGGGGACAACAGUUGGAAACGACUGCUAAUACCGCAUACGAUCUAAUCUCGGCAUCGAGGAUAGAUGAAAGGUGGCCUCUACAUGUAAGCUAUCACUGAAGGAGGGGAUUGCGUCUGAUUAGCUAGUUGGAGGGGUAACGGCCCACCAAGGCGAUGAUCAGUAGGCGGUCUGAGAGGAUGAACGGCCACAUUGGGACUGAGACACGGCCCAGACUCCUACGGGAGGCAGCAGUGGGGAAUCUUCCGCAAUGGACGAAAGUCUGACGGAGCAACGCCGCGGGAGUGAUGACGGCCUUCGGGUUGUAAAGCUCUGUUAAUCGGGACGAAAGGCCUUCUUGCGAAUAGAGAGAAGGAUUGACGGUACCGGAAUAGAAAGCCACGGCUAACUACGUG